rnacentral:lncRNA from 1 species
ACAGUCCUAUGGUCAUAGCUAGUCCUUCUUAAAGCUCUAGCCAGUGGGAAAGCGUUUGUGUUUCUAUCCUUGGAGCUCCAAGUGGGACUUCUUAAAAGAUUUAGAAGGAGCAAAGCUGUCAGGAAAUCAGAAACGUCACAUGGACUCCAUGACUGGGAAAAACCUCGUGGUGGCCUGCUCUCAGUGCUUGGAUGUGUGCUAGUUACAUCUCGGAGGUCUGAUUUUCUUAACUCUACUACGGUAAGAAGAUGCCCUCCAUCAGCAGGCCGUGUCUGCUGGGACCUCUCUGGAGACUUCCUGAACCCUGUGGAUUUACAGUAAGAUGCAGUUUCCUGGGGAGUAAUUCUGGUGGAUACAAAUUCCGGAGUAUUACACCUGGCUUGCCUGGAGAUGUUACAAGUAGCUGGAUGGAUUCUUCAGCCUGGAUGCCCACUGAAAACAAGGACCGAAACUAAGAGGAUUGUAUCUCUACCCUUGACUCAAUGAGAAUGUUUGUUGUCAUCUCUCGGGCUACCUGGAGCUCCCUCUAAAAUGGGCUGGGACACUGCCUGAUUGAGGUGGCCAUUGAGAAUUCAAGUGUACCUCUUGGUCCCUGAUGCAGAAAUGAAGUCCCCAGCAUGCUCAAGAAGAGCUUCCUUGGAGGAUGAGAGGCAUGGGAAUCUAAGUAUACCCUUUAAGCGUUCCAGAAGGAUUUUGAGAUCCUUUCCUAAAUCAAAGGUGGAAUAUUUGGGGAUUUGGAAAAUUGAGAUGUGAAGCGUUGACUUAAGAGAUGCCAAGUAACUCAGCAGAUGUCACACAGACGAUAAAUAGCAAAGAUGGAAGUCUUCAUGCCGGAGGCAAUCCUAUAAGACAGCUGAGUUCUGCAGAGCUGGUAGGAGACAGACUUGCUCAGGUGAUAGAUCCAGCCAUGAUACUGACCCUAAGAGAAUGAGACGCUCUGCAGAAGACAGAAGAUUCCUGAAACUGGGAAAGGUGCCUAGAAAUCCUGAUAAGAGUGAAGAAGGAGCUGGCAGAGCAGCCUUCCUCCGCACUAUGAAAGACAUCCAACAGAGAGCAAGUUCCCACCUCACUUCCAGCUUGACUCCUUUUUAUCUCCUAACUGUGGUCUGUGAUGUCUUCAGCAAUGGUAUUAACUAGUUCUGGGUACCUGGAGGCACAGCAGCCAUGUUGAACCUAUGAGGUGAUGAAAAACCAUGCAACUAGAAACCAGAAUGGAAGAAAAGAAGAAGCUGGAUCCUUGACUGAAUUGUCGAUGGGGGAUAGUCCAUCAUCCCAGGGCUAAGACCACCUCCAGAUUUCUUGUUUGGUGAAACAAGUCCUGAUUGUUUACAUUCCCUCGUGUUGAGCUGUCUCUUGCUUGUAGCUGAAAGCAUUUCUAAUAGAUAUUCAGAUUAUCAGCCUUAGCUCCAAGCUAGAAUACUCUAUGGGACCUUAGCUUCUCCAUGAAUUCCUUUGCUCAUCUGUGUAAUGCUCAAUAAAUGUAAAUUGAACCC